AGAUUGCUCAUCAGGGUUCUUUUACUCAAGGAAUGAGCUAUAUGCAUUCCCAGGAAGCCAAAUCCUUGGAGAAAGAUUCUAUUUGUCACAUUUGGGCAUGGGAAAUGUGAUUCUGUUGAAUCCAGAAAAUUUGUUUGGAUACUGGGAAAGAAUUGAAAGGAAUUCUAUGGUGCAGGUACCUAUUUAUAAAAAAAAAAUUCAAAGAAGUGAAUGAUUAGAUUU